rnacentral:rRNA from 1 species
GAAAUAGAACCUGAAACCGUGUGCCUACAACAAGUUCGAGCCCGUUAAUGGGUGAGAGCGUGCCUUUUGUAGAAUGAACCGGCGAGUUACGAUAUGAUGCGAGGUUAAGUUGAAGAGACGGAGCCGUAGGGAAACCGAGUCUUAAUAGGGCGAUUAGUUGCAGGGUAUAGACCCGAAACCGAGUGAUCUAUCCAUGAGCAGGUUGAAAGUGCCGUAACAGGCACCGGAGGACCGAACCCACUGUCGU